GACGAACGCUGGCGGCGUGCUUAACACAUGCAAGUCGAACGGAAAGGCCCUGCUUUUGUGGGGUGCUCGAGUGGCGAACGGGUGAGUAACACGUGAGUAACCUGCCCUUGACUUUGGGAUAACUUCAGGAAACUGGGGCUAAUACCGGAUAGGAGCUCCUGCUGCAUGGUGGGGGUUGGAAAGUUUCGGCGGUUGGGGAUGGACUCGCGGCUUAUCAGCUUGUUGGUGGGGUAGUGGCUUACCAAGGCUUUGACGGGUAGCCGGCCUGAGAGGGUGACCGGCCACAUUGGGACUGAGAUACGGCCCAGACGCCUACGGGAGGCAGCAGUGGGGAAUAUUGCACAAUGGGCGGAAGCCGGAUGCAGCAACGCCGCGUGCGGGAUGACGGCCUUCGGGUUGUAAACCGCUUUCGCUUGUGACGAAGCGUGAGUGACGGUAAUGGGGAAAGAAGCACCGGCUAACUACGU
rnacentral:rRNA from 1 species